GACCUGACCAGCUCCAGCAGCAUUGUAAAUGAGUCUUGAUAAUCCUCCAGACCGGAGAGAGAGCAAAGGAGCAGGAGGAAAGGAGUCUCCUCCUCAAGGUUGCGGUGGAGCAGGAUUGGCUCGUCAUCAAACUCGCUGAAGAUUUCUGAGUCGUCAUCCAAGCUGUCUCCGGAGCUCUCUAGCAACAGUCCCACGCCAUCAUCCAGUAUUUCCUCUGCAACAAAUAUGUCAUGUAUGAGCUUCAUGAAAAAAUAGUUUCUUUGAAUAAGACUUUUAUUUCCUUGUCUUGUAAUGUCAUGUAAGGUCCUCUCAUACUAGGUCUGAGCAUCCUGUCCUCCUCAAUAAAGACCCUUUAGAUUCACUGUGAAAAAAUAAAUUGAAGCCUCUUCCGUUUGCUUGAAAAUACAAUUAAAGCUUGAGAUUUGCCUA